rnacentral:rRNA from 1 species
UGGGGAAUAUUGGACAAUGGACCAAAAGUCUGAUCCAGCAAUUCUGUGUGCACGAUGACGUUUUUCGGAAUGUAAAGUGCUUUCAGUUGGGAAGAAAAAAAUGACGGUACCAACAGAAGAAGUGACGGCUAAAUACGUGCCAGCAGCCGCGGUAAUACGUAUGUCACAAGCGUUAUCCGGAUUUAUUGGGCGUAAAGCGCGUCUAGGUGGUUAUGUAAGUCUGAUGUGAAAAUGCAGGGCUCAACUCUGUAUUGCGUUGGAAACUGCAUGACUAGAGUACUGGAGAGGUAAGCGGAACUACAAGUGUAGAGGUGAAAUUCGUAGAUAUUUGUAGGAAUGCCGAUGGGGAAGCCAGCUUACUGGACAGAUACUGACGCUAAAGCGCGAAAGCGUGGGUAGCAAACAGGAUUAGAUACCCUGGUAGUCCACGCCGUANCGAUGAUUACUAGGUGUUGGGGGUCGAACCUCAGCGCCCAAGCUAACGCGAUAAGUAAUCCGCCUGGGGAGUACGUACGCNAGUAUG